ACAGACUCAAUUCAUAAAAAAAAAAAAAGAGAUAGAAAACACCAUCUUUUAUCAUUCUGGGAAAGAAGUCACUUGGUAUUGGAUCCGCUCUUCUCUCGUGCUCUUCUGGGCGGUACAAAUAAAUCCGGAAUGAGCACACCGAUAACGCCUAACGCCGGACCGGAACUCUUCCCUUCAAACUAAAUCCCUUCUAUUGCGGGUUUCGAACUACUCGCUACUAUAGUGAAAAAGUCCAGUUGACGUAGCGUAGGUGGAAGAAGAUCGGACUCAGUUCCUUUUCGUGAUAACUUCAUUCUUGGUCCGGUGGGUUAGAAGCAUAAUAAGAGAUUCCCCAUCCCGGAAUGAAGAUUAAUGCUUGAAUAGUCUUUUCCCGAGCCCAAGGAGAUAAAUUGAUCCCCGCCUCUGGCUGCUCCUG
rnacentral:misc_RNA from 1 species